rnacentral:rRNA from 1 species
AUUGAACGCUGGCGGCGUGGAUUAGGCAUGCAAGUCGUGCGAGAAGUCUUUUGCUUGCAUUAGACGGAAAGCGGCGAAAGGGAGAGUAACGCGUGGGUACCUACCUCUAGGUUCGGGAUAGCUGCGGGAAACUGUGGGUAAUACCGAAUAACAUCUCCGGAUCAAAGGUGUGAUUCCGCCUGGAGACGGGCCCGCGUCCUAUUAGCUUGUUGGUGGGGUAAUGGCUUACCAAGGCAAUGAUGGGUAUCGGGCGUGAGAGCGUGACCCGACUCACUGGGACUGAGACACUGCCCAGACACCUACGGGUGGCUGCAGUCGAGAAUCUUCGGCAAUGGGCGCAAGCCUGACCGAGCGACGCCGCGUGCGGGAUGAAGGCCCUCGGGUUGUAAACCGCUGUCAGUUGGGAGGAAAUCACAUGGGGUUCUCUCCAUGUGUUGACCUAUCUUCAGAGGAAGGACGGGCUAAGUUCGUGCCAGCCGCCGCCGUAAGAC